UACGAAGGGGGCUAGCGUUGUUCGGAAUCACUGGGCGUAAAGGGCGCGUAGGCGGCUUUAUAAGUCGGGGGUGAAAGCCUGUGGCUCAACCACAGAAUUGCCUUCGAUACUGUAGAGCUUGAGACCGGAAGAGGUAAGUGGAACUGCGAGUGUAGAGGUGAAAUUCGUAGAUAUUCGCAAGACCACCAGUGGCGAAGGCGGCUUACUGGUCCGGUUCUGACGCUGAGGCGCGAAAGCGUGGGGAGCAAACAGG
rnacentral:rRNA from 1 species